AGUGAACGCUGGCGGUAGGCCUAACACAUGCAAGUCGAACGGCAGCACAGUACGUUCUUGCUCUUACGGGUGGCGAGUGGCGGACGGGUGACGAAUACAUCGUAAUCUACUUUUUCGUGUGGGUUCACGUAGGGAAACUUACGCUCAUACCGCAUACCACCUACCGGUGAAAGCAGUGGAUCUUCUUGCCUUUUGCGAUUGAAUUAGCGGAUUUCGUAUUAGUUAGUUGGCGGGGUAAAGGCCAACCAAGGCGACGAUCCGUAGCUGGUCUGAGUGGAUGAUCAGCCACACUGGAACUUAAACACGGUCCAGACUCCUACGGGAGGCAGCAGUGGGGAAUAUUGGACAAUGGGCGCAAGCCUUAUCCAGCCAUACCGCGUGUGUGAAGAAGGCCUUCCGUUUGUAAAGCCCUUUUGUUGGUAAAAAAAAGCAUCAGCUUAAUACCCCGCUGUUCUGACGGUACCCAAAGAAUAAGCACCGGCUAACUUCGUG
rnacentral:rRNA from 1 species